rnacentral:rRNA from 1 species
AGAGUUUGAUCCUGGCUCAGAACGAACGCUGGCGGCAGGCUUAACACAUGCAAGUCGAACGCUCGUAGCAAUACGGGAGUGGCAGACGGGUGAGUAACGCGUGGGAACAUACCCUCCGGUUCGGAAUAGCUCAGGGAAACUUGGAUUAAUACCGGAUACGGCUGAGAGGCGAAAGAUUUAUCGCCGGAGGAUUGGCCCGCGUUCGAUUAGCUUGUUGGUGAGGUAACGGCUCACCAAGGCGAUGAUCGAUAGCUGGUCUGAGAGGAUGAUCAGCCAUAUUGGGACUGAGACACGGCCCAAACUCCUACGGGAGGCAGCAGUGGGGAAUAUUGGACAAUGGGCGCAAGCCUGAUCCAGCCAUGCCGCGUGAGUGAUGACGGCCUUAGGGUUGUAAAGCUCUUUCGCUCGGGACGAUAAUGACGGUACCGAGAUAAGAAGCCCCGGCUAACUUCGUGCCAGCAGCCGCGGUAAUACGAAGGGGGCUAGCGUUGUUCGGAAUUACUGGGCGUAAAGCGCGUGUAGGCGGGUCUUUAAGUCAGGGGUGAAAUGCCAAGGCUCAACCUUGGAACUGCCUUUGAUACUGAAGACCUUGAGUCCGGGAGAGGUGAGUGGAAUUGCGAGUGUAGAGGUGAAAUUCGUAGAUAUUCGCAAGAACACCAGUGGCGAAGGCGGCUCACUGGCCCGGAACUGACGCUGAGACGCGAAAGCGUGGGGAGCAAACAGGAUUAGAUACCCCGGUAGUCC